rnacentral:rRNA from 1 species
UGCCAGCCGCCGCGGUAAUACGUAGGGAGCGAGCGUUGUCCGGAAUUAUUGGGCGUAAAGGGUGCGUAGGCGGUUUGCCAAGUCAGAUGUGAAAUUCCCGGGCUUAACUCGGGGCGUGCAUUUGAAACUGGUAGACUUGAGUAAAGAAGAGGUAAGUGGAAUUCCUAGUGUAGCGGUGAAAUGCGUAGAUAUUAGGAGGAACACCAGUGGCGAAGGCGACUGCCUGGACUGAUACUGACACUGAGGUGCGAAAGCGUGGGGAGCAAACGGGAUUAGAUA